rnacentral:lncRNA from 1 species
GUUGAUGAAUUUAAUCCGAUCAUAGUUUCUACUUAUGGACAAGCAAGAAAAGCAGCACCUGUAUUUUGGCAUGAAGAGAUCAAAUUCUUUGGCAGGAAUUAUCAACUUUAUAAUGUAUUAAUAAAUGCCCAUCUCUUUUUCAUCAAUCCUUUAGAUACAAUGAAUUCAACUGAGCGAUUGAUUUCUACUGACUUACCUAAUAUACCAAAUGCUUUCAUCUUUCUUCAUCUUACAAUCAAGAAGAAAUAUGACACUGUUCGGAGGCAGAGUGGCUGGCUAACAAAGUUCCACUAUAUACCAUUCAAUAAUAACAAUUUUCUCCACUCUUUAUUUUCAUUACUCAACUCUCCCCCAAAUUUGUGAACGCUGAGAUUCUUAAGUAGUGAAUCGCAACCAUUUUUCGUGGAUGAUGUUGUCUUUUUGGUUGCCCAGCGCCUGAAGAUCAACCUCAUCAAUCCCACUCCAGAUGCAUCUAAAAUUGCAGACUGAGAUAUUAAUUGACUGAGUAAAUAAAUAAUGUCCUAUUCAAAUAUAUCGUACCACUCUUACUACAAAAGGAGAUGAAAUUCAUACGGCAAGCAAAACCAUACAUGAGUGGUCUUGUAAAUAUGCUCCUCGAUACUUAACCUUCUAUAGACUGACGUUACAAAAUUCAUUGUAUUGAUUAACAACGCUAGAGUAGAAAACCUAGCGAAAAACCAAAUUUAUUAAUCAAAUAACUUGUUUCAAAGUAUGUAUGCAAAUGCAAAUGUUGAACCAAGAACUAUUAUAAUUGACAUAAACUUUAGAUGUGAAGCAUUUUCAUCGUAAAGGACAUAUCUAGCAUAUUGAUGUGAAACUAUGAGAUUAUACUAUCUUAUCCAUUUUGCCCUUUUUCAAUUAUGAUGUUGUCAGUAGAGAACAAGGAAUUUCUGCAAUAUAUAAAACCUACCUAGUAGGAAAUUCAAGAUUUCAGCUCAAUUUUUUAAAAUUAUUAGCAUAGUUUAAUGAAAUAAUCCACUCUAUAAGAAUAUAAAAUUAAUUGCCAUCUUAAAGAAGUAGUCAAAUUGUUUACCAUAAAUCAAAACUUAAGAAACUGCAGAUGGAUUGUUGAAAAAUAAUUAGUUGUAGUAACUUGCAGAAUCUUGUAGAAUAUUAAAAUGCAGAAAUAGAACUUAUUGACUGAUCGAGUCUCAUGAUAACACGAUAUCCUAAAAUGAAAUUACCCACCAGUAACUGCAGUGACCUUUGUGGACAAUCACUCACAAGACACAACGAUCAAACAAACCCCUUGUGCAAUAAUCACAAAUGAUUUCAAAACUCCCAAAUGUACUUCAGAAAAAGAUGUAAAACUCGAGUAUAGCAAUUACAAAAUAUGAAAAUUAUAAUUUCAAUUUUUGAUGUAUUUUUUCCAAAAUCGUAUGAGUGUUUAUAUACGUAGAAUAGAUAACUGUCUCC